rnacentral:rRNA from 1 species
AGUGAACGCUGGCGGUAGGCCUAGCACAUGCAAGUCGAACGGCAGCACAGUAAGAGCUUGCUCUUACGGGUGGCGAGUGGCGGACGGGUGAGGAAUACAUCGGAAUCUACUUUUUCGUGAGGGAUAACGUAGGGAAACUUACGCUAAUACCGCAUACGACCUACGGGUGAAAGCAGGGGAUCUUCGGACCUUGCGCGAUUGAAUGAGCCGAUGUCGGAUUAGCUAGUUGGCGGGGUAAAGGCCCACCAAGGCGACGAUCCGUAGCUGGUCUGAGAGGAUGAUCAGCCACACUGGAACUGAGACACGGUCCAGACUCCUACGGGAGGCAGCAGUGGGGAAUAUUGGACAAUGGGCGCAAGCCUGAUCCAGCCAUACCGCGUGGGUGAAGAAGGCCUUCGGGUUGUAAAGCCCUUUUGUUGGGAAAGAAAAGCAGCAGGUUAAUACCCCGCUGUUCUGACGGUACCCAAAGAAUAAGCACCGGCUAACUUCGU